UACAGAGGGUGCAAGCGUUAAUCGGAAUUACUGGGCGUAAAGCGUGCGCAGACGGUCUCGUAAGUCGGGUGUGAAAUCCCCGGGCUCAACCUGGGAAUUGCAUUCGAAACUGCGAGGCUAGGGUACGGAAGAGGGAAGCGGAAUUUCUGGCGUAGCGGUGAAAUGCGUAGAUAUCAGAAGGAACAUCAGUGGCGAAGGCAGAUCUCUGGGCCGUAACUGACGCUGAGGAGCGAAAGCAUGGGGAGCGAACAGG
rnacentral:rRNA from 1 species